GACGAACGCUGGCGGCGUGCCUAAUACAUGCCAGUAGAACGCUGAAGGAGGAGCUUGCUUCUCUGGAUGAGUUGCGAACGGGUGAGUAACGCGUAGGUAACCUGCCUGGUAGCGGGGGAUAACUAUUGGAAACGAUAGCUAAUACCGCAUAAGAGUAGAUGUUGCAUGACAUUUGCUUAAAAGGUGCAAUUGCAUCACUACCAGAUGGACCUGCGUUGUAUUAGCUAGUUGGUGGGGUAACGGCUCACCAAGGCGACGAUACAUAGCCGACCUGAGAGGGGGAUCGGCCACACUGGGACUGAGGCACGGCCCAGACUCCUACGGGAGGCAGCAGUAGGGAAUCUUCGGCAAUGGACGGAAGGCUGACCGAGCAACGCCGCGGGAGUGAAGAAGGGUUUCGGAUCGGAAAGCUCUGUUGUAAGAGAAGAACGAGUGUGAGAGUGGAAAGUUCACACUGUGACGGUAUCUUACCAGAAAGGGACGGCUAACUACGUG
rnacentral:rRNA from 1 species